UCGAAACCUCAAAAUGACCCGCGAACCAGUUAUCCACAAGUCGGGGGUGUCGGGCUGAACCCCGUAACCCCCAUGCGCCGGUGGCGGUCAGGCGUGCCAAGCUCUUGGCACGGUUGGCCCGUCACCUGCCCAACAAACCAACCCCGGCGCGGCACGCGCCAAGGAACUUUGCAUCAUGAGAAGGACAAUGCCCCCGUCUGUGCCGGAAAUCGGAUAACACGGCCGGUGGCUUUCCUUCUGUUCAUAACUAAAACGACUCUCGGCAACGGAUAUCUAGGCUCUUGCAUCGAUGAAGAACGUAGCGAAAUGCGAUACUUGGUGUGAAUUGCAGAAUCCCGUGAACCAUCGAGUCUUUGAACGCAAGUUGCGCCCGAAGCCUUCUGGCCGAGGGCACGUCUGCCUGGGUGUCACACAUCGUCGCCCCCAAAACCAAUGCCUCACUCGAGUUCAUUGGGUACAGGAUGGGCGGAUAAUGGUCUCCCGUGCGCACCCGUUCGCGGUUGGCCCAAAACUUUGUUCCUGGCGAUCGCAAGCCAUGACCAGCGGUGGUUGUAAGACCCUCGGUCAUAGUCGUGAGCUUGCACGUCGGGACUUAU
rnacentral:misc_RNA from 1 species